rnacentral:rRNA from 1 species
UGGGGAAUUUUGGACAAUGGGCGCAAGCCUGAUCCAGCCAUUCCGCGUGCAGGAUGAAGGCCCUCGGGUUGUAAACUGCUUUUGUACGGAACGAAAAGCCUUCUUCUAAUACAAGAGGGUCAUGACGGUACCGUAAGAAUAAGCACCGGCUAACUACUUGCCAGCAGCCGCGGUAAUACGUAGGGUGCAAGCGUUAAUCGGAAUUACUGGGCGUAAAGCGUGCGCAGGCGGUGAUGUAAGACAGAUGUGAAAUCCCCGGGCUCAACCUGGGAACUGCAUUUGUGACUGCAUCGCUGGAGUGCGGCAGAGGGGGAUGGAAUUCCGCGUGUAGCAGUGAAAUGCGUAGAUAUGCGGAGGAACACCGAUGGCGAAGGCAAUCCCCUGGGCCUGCACUGACGCUCAUGCACGAAAGCGUGGGGAGCAA